AUUUCAGUUGCUGCUGAGGAUAGAAGAGAUAGUGAAGCCUUAUACAAUCCCGGUAGCAUAACAGACCUUGCAGCUAAUUAUAGUAAGUUUGAUUGGCAGAAUUAUUUUUAUGAUAUUUUUAAUAUGGAUGGUGUGGGGUUAAAUAUAACAGCAGAUGAAAUUAUUAUCAACAGAUCACCACAAUAUUUUAAUCUAUUAUUUGAUAUAUUAGAAAAUACACCAGCAAGGGUAAAGGCUAAUUAUAUUUUAUUUAGACUAGUACUACAAAGAGCACCUUAUUUAACAGCCAAAUUUAGAGAAUUAUUAGUGGACUACAAUAAGGU